AGGCUGAGUGCAAUAUGUCAUCCCAUUGAUCAUUAAGACUAAAUUGGCUGGAUAAGGAGAGAUCUCCUUUACUCACUACUCCCUAUGUAUCCCUUUGAAAGCUUUGUGCACAGUGGAAGAGGAUGACUAUGUCAUAUAAAAGGAGUGUACUGAUCUUCAGUCAAGGGUAUAUAAUAGCUGUGCUCCUCUGCUAGCUCAAAGUCCUCCAAACAAGCUCAAAGUCAAUAUGGUUUUCUUUGAACAACCAUAAUAAGAGGGAUUUAUAAAUAUGGAUGCUGCACCACUAGAAAUAUUCAUAUCCAAAAGUAUUU
rnacentral:snRNA from 1 species